rnacentral:sRNA from 1 species
UUCGAUUAAGGUUCGACUCGAGCGGAAGCGAGAGAACGUUGCCAACGGCAACGGCCCGAAGGGGGAGGAGCGGAGCGACGAAUAAUCCUUCCCCCACCACCA